AGAGUUUGAUCCUGGCUCAGAUUGAACGCUGGCGGCAGGCUUAACACAUGCAAGUCGAGCGGAUGAGAAGAGCUUGCUCUUCGAUUCAGCGGCGGACGGGUGAGUAAUGCCUAGGAAUCUGCCUGGUAGUGGGGGACAACGUUUCGAAAGGAACGCUAAUACCGCAUACGUCCUACGGGAGAAAGCAGGGGACCUUCGGGCCUUGCGCUAUCAGAUGAGCCUAGGUCGGAUUAGCUAGUUGGUGAGGUAAUGGCUCACCAAGGCGACGAUCCGUAACUGGUCUGAGAGGAUGAACAGUCACACUGGAACUGAGACACGGUCCAGACUCCUACGGGAGGCAGCAGUGGGGAAUAUUGGACAAUGGGCGAGAGCCUGUUCCAGCCAUGCCGCGUGUGUGAAGAAGGUCUUCGGAUUGUAAAGCACUUUAAGUUGGGAGGGAGGGCAUUAACCUAAUACGUUAGUGUUUUGACGUUACCGACAGAAUAAGCACCGGCUAACUCUGUGCCAGCAGCCGCGGUAAUACAGAGGGUGCAAGCGUUAAUCGGAAUUACUGGGCGUAAAGCGCGCGUAGGUGGUUUGUUAAGUUGGAUGUGAAAGCCCCGGGCUCAACCUGGGAACUGCAUCCAAAACUGGCAAGCUAGAGUACGGUAGAGGGUGGUGGAAUUUCCUGUGUAGCGGUGAAAUGCGUAGAUAUAGGAAGGAACACCAGUGGCGAAGGCGACCACCUGGACUGAUACUGACACUGAGGUGCGAAAGCGUGGGGAGCAAACAGGAUUAGAUACCCUGGUAGUCCACGCCGU
rnacentral:rRNA from 1 species